AUUGAACGCUGGCGGCAUGCUUUACACAUGCGAGUCGAACGGUAACAGGCCUUCGGGUGCUGACGAGUGGCGCACGGGUGAGUAAUGCAUCGGAACGUACCCAGAGGUGGGGGAUAACGCAGCGAAAGCUGUGCUAAUACCGCAUGUGAUCUGAGGAUGAAAGCGGGGGACCGAGCAGCAAUGUUUGGCCUCGCGCCUUUGGAGCGGCCGAUGUCGGAUUAGCUAGUUGGUGGGGUAAAGGCCUACCAAGGCGACGAUCCGUAGCUGGUCUGAGAGGACGACCAGCCACACUGGGACUGAGACGCGGCCCAGACUCCUACGGGAGGCAGCAGUGGGGAAUUUUGGACAAUGGGCGCAAGCCUGAUCCAGCAAUGCCGCGUGCGGGAAGAAGGCCUUCGGGUUGUAAACCGCUUUUGGCAGGAACGAAACGGUGUCCGCUAAUACCGGGCGCUAAUGACGGUACCUGCAGAAUAAGCACCGGCUAACUACGUG
rnacentral:rRNA from 1 species